AGACAGAAGAAUGGCCAAAAGACAUAUGAAAACAUGCUCAAAGUCACUAAUGAUCCGAGAGACGCAAAUCAAAUCGACAAUGAGGUACCAUCUCACAUCUGUCAGAAUGGCUAUCAUCAACAAGUCAACAAAUGACAAGUGCUGGC